AUUGAACGCUGGCGGCAGGCUUAACACAUGCAAGUCGAGCGGAGUGAUGGUGCUUGCACUAUCACUUAGCGGCGGACGGGUGAGUAAUGCUUAGGAAUCUGCCUAUUAGUGGGGGACAACAUCUCGAAAGGGAUGCUAAUACCGCAUACGUCCUACGGGAGAAAGCAGGGGAUCACUUGUGACCUUGCGCUAAUAGAUGAGCCUAAGUCGGAUUAGCUAGUUGGUGGGGUAAAGGCCUACCAAGGCGACGAUCUGUAGCGGGUCUGAGAGGAUGGUCCGCCACACUGGGACUGGGACACGGCCCAGACUCCUACGGGAGGCAGCAGUGGGGAAUAUUGGACAAUGGGGGGAACCCUGAUCCAGCCAUGCCGCGUGUGUGAAGAAGGCCUUAUGGUUGUAAAGCACUUUAAGCGAGGAGGAGGCUCUUUUGGUUAAUACCCAAGAUGAGUGGACGUUACUCGCAGAAUAAGCACCGGCUAACUCUGUGCCAGCCGCCGCGGUAA
rnacentral:rRNA from 1 species